UACAGAGGCCCCAAGCAUUACCCGGAAUCACUGGGCGUAAAGGGUGUGUAGGUGGUCAUGUUAGUCGAAUGUUAAAUCCCAGGGCUUAACUCUGGAAUCGCAUUCGAAACGGCAUGACUCGAGAGCGUAAGAGGUGAAUGGAACUCAUGGUGUAGGGGUGAAAUCCGUUGAUAUCAUGGGGAACACCGAAAGCGAAAGCAAUUCACUGGUACGUUUCUGACACUCAAACACGAAAGCGUGGGUAGCGAACGGG
rnacentral:rRNA from 1 species